GCCUGGGCUCUUUAGCCACAUUUCAGGGCCCAAAGUCAGGUGGUGUCCGCCUGCUCAUGACGACCUCUGCCCCCUUCAGAACAUCUUCCCGAUGGCCCAGGCCCACCUGACCAAGCCCCGCCUUCAAAAACGUUUCUUUCCAGAGCCGCCAUGGUGGAGCAGGACUGGUAGGUCAGGUGUCAGCAGAGAUUCGGGCACGUGCCGGCGGGGAAGGAGUUACGAACAUAUGGAAUACUUCAUAAUGGCCCGGGCUGUGCAAAAUUUAAUCCGAACAGUGGAAAAGGAGGAGGAGAAGGAGAUGACUAAGGAGGAGGAAGAAGAGGAGAAGAAGUUGGAGGAAGAGGAGGGAGAUGAAGAGGAGAGAAAAUAUGAGGGACCCAGCAUGUUCUGUCCCCAGAGCCUGCUCCAGGUGGUGAAGUUCUGCGGGCUGGGGGGCUGAUUCCUGGGAC
rnacentral:lncRNA from 1 species